GACGAACGCUGGCGGCGUGCCUAAUACAUGCAAGUCGAGCGAGCUUGCCUAGAUGAUUUUAGUGCUUGCACUAAAUGAAACUAGAUACAAGCGAGCGGCGGACGGGUGAGUAACACGUGGGUAACCUGCCCAAGAGACUGGGAUAACACCUGGAAACAGAUGCUAAUACCGGAUAACAACACUAGACGCAUGUCUAGAGUUUGAAAGAUGGUUCUGCUAUCACUCUUGGAUGGACCUGCGGUGCAUUAGCUAGUUGGUAAGGUAACGGCUUACCAAGGCAAUGAUGCAUAGCCGAGUUGAGAGACUGAUCGGCCACAUUGGGACUGAGACACGGCCCAAACUCCUACGGGAGGCAGCAGUAGGGAAUCUUCCACAAUGGACGAAAGUCUGAUGGAGCAACGCCGCGUGAGUGAAGAAGGGUUUCGGCUCGUAAAGCUCUGUUGGUAGUGAAGAAAGAUAGAGGCAGUAACUGGCCUUUAUUUGACGGUAAUUACUUAGAAAGUCACGGCUAACUACGUG
rnacentral:rRNA from 1 species